rnacentral:rRNA from 1 species
GCCUACGGCCAUACCACCCUGAAAACGUCUGAUCUCGGAAGCUAAGCAGGGUCGGGCCCGGUUAGUACUUGGAUGGGAGACCGCCCGGGUGCUGUAGGCU